UGUUUGUGUGCCUUCGUUCCCUUCCCAGGGCUGCUUUUUCCCUGUUACUGAUCCAUCGCUCGUAAAUCAUUUAUAGGAACCGGGCGCUUCUCUCCUCGCAGGAGCUUCCCUUGAAAAACUUUCCCAUCUUCAGAUAACCUGUGUUUCACAGAUCACCGUCUGAAAAACACUGGUUUUGGAAAAUAUAAGCCAACGCCUCAUGACUGCCUUCUGUGGAACUGCCUGCACUUAGACUGCUUCAGCAUUGUCCACUUGGGGACUUGUGAUUCAGGUCCAUGUACUAAAUCGGCAGCAGCUGAGGCAGGAGGGGCUGAAGCAGGGGCUGAGGAGAAGUGGCACUCCUCUUGCUCUAAGCAUGUCUUCCUAACUGGAAGCAAGUGGAGACCUGAUCAGAUGAAAGCCACUAAUACUUGAGAUCUGUCACUGAUCAUUCCUGAUGUAAUCAUAGCAAAAUGAUCCAGUGUAACUAAAAAUAAUAAUAAUAAUAAAAAGAGGAUAAGCAGUUUCUGAAGUAUCAGAUCCCAGAGAGGUAGCCCAUUUUAUACAUAGCUUAGCCUUUUGUCUUCUUGUACAAUUACUGAAAUGACUUAGAACGCAGAGUUGUGAUUAUUGUGAUUUUGUGAUUCCUUCUGCAAUUCAUGGAACACAACCACGUUCAGAAGAUGUUGAUUAAUUAAUCUCCACUAUGUUCAUAUUUUUUUAUACAGUACAAGCCAAUUUUAAUUUCUGAAGAAAUGCAAAAGAAUGACAUUUUAAUAAAUUUAAAACUGAAACUUAAUAUAACUAUAGAUCUAAAAUUCCAUGUGUACAUUUUCAGUAAGAAUCAUGUCAUACAGUCUUCCAUAAGUGUAGCCUCAUUGCAGCAUAGGCAUUUUAAUAUUACAGAUGAUGAACCUUAAGUUGCCAUUUAUUUACAUAAAUCUAAGAGCUUAAUAAAAGAAGUGUAAUAGCAAACAUCACUUAAGAUUGCUAAGAGACAACACAUUUACCUAUUAAAUCAUUUGUAAAAUUCAGUCACUUAUCUGAGGAAAUACGUCAAGGUCACCAUAAAAAUAAGCACACUCCAUAAAUCAUAUCACAGUAUAUAAAAUAAUACUUGUCAAUUUUCAGUGCAUUUUUCUCAUACAGAUUUGUACAAAUAGGUACUUUCUUUCACAAUAAAUGCUUGUGGGUUUUUGUUUGUUUGUUUGUUUGUUUGUUUUUGCCAGACUGAAAGUAGGAUGCUUUAAUAAAAUAUGCAAUUUUAUUGCUAGAAAGUUUGUAUAUGUCAUAUGAUAGCAUGUUAACAUGAGUAAGUUUGAGAUAGUCCACC
rnacentral:lncRNA from 1 species